rnacentral:rRNA from 1 species
CCUACGGGAGGCUGCAGUGAGGAAUAUUGGUCAAUGGCCGUAAGGCUGAACCAGCCAAGUAGCGUGAGGGAUGACUGCCCUACGGGUUGUAAACUUCUUUUAUAAAGGAAUAAAGUGAGGCACGUGUGCCUUUUUGUAUGUACUUUAUGACUAAGGAUCGGCUAACUCCGUGCCAGCAGCCGCGGUAAUACGGAGGAUCCGAGCGUUAUCCGGAUUUAUUGGGUUUAAAGGGAGCGUAGAUGGGUUGUUAAGUCAGUUGUGAAAGUUUGCGGCUCAACCGUAAAAUUGCAAUUGAUACUGGCAGUCUUGAGUACAGUUGAGGUAGGCGGAAUUCGUGGUGUAGCGGUGAAAUGCUUAGAUAUCACGAAGAACUCCGAUUGCGAAGGCAGCUUACUAAACUGCCACUGACAUUGAUGCUCGAAAGUGUGGGUAUCAAACAGGAUUAGAUACCCGUGUGUC